UAGGUCCGCCGAAGCAGGUCGGGAGACUCCGGCCGCCGAUUCAAUCCCGCCGCGGUGCUCUUAACUGAGUGUCGAGGUGGGCCGGCAAAUUUACUUUGAACAAAUUAGAGUGCUUAAAGCAGGCUGAUUUCCGCCUGAAUACUGUGUGCAUGGAAUAAUGGAAUAGGACUUCGGUUCUAUUUUAUUGGUUUUAAGAAACCGAAGUAAUGAUUAAUAGGGACAGGCGGGGGCAUUCGUAUUGCGACGUUAGAGGUGAAAUUCUUGGAUCGUCGCAAGACGUACCUAAGCGAAAGCAUUUGCCAAGUAUGUCCUCGUUAAUCAAGAACGAAAGUUAGAGGUUCGAAGGCGAUCAGAUACCGCCCUAGUUCUAACCAUAAACGAUGCCAGCCAGCGAUCCGCCAAUGUUCCUCCGAUGACUUGGCGGGCAGCUUCCGGGAAACCAAAGCUUUUGGGUUCCGGGGGAAGUAUGGUUGCAAAGCUGAAACUUAAAGGAAUUGACGGAAGGGCACCACCAGGAGUGGAGCCUGCGGCUUAAUUUGACUCAACACGGGAAACCUCACCAGGCCAGGACACUGGAAGGAUUGACAGAUUGA
rnacentral:rRNA from 1 species